rnacentral:rRNA from 1 species
GCGUGCCUUUUGUAGAAUGAACCGGCGAGUUACGAUUUGAUGCAAGGUUAAGCAGUAAAUGUGGAGCCGUAGCGAAAGCGAGUCUGAAUAGGGCGUUUAGUAUUUGGUCGUAGACCCGAAACCAGGUGAUCUACCCUUGGUCAGGUUGAAGUUCAGGUAACACUGAAUGGAGGACCGAACCGACUUACGUUGAAAAGUGAGCGGAUGAACUGAGGGUAGCGGAGAAAUUCCAAUCGAACCUGGAGAUAGCUGGUUCUCUCCGAAAUAGCUUUAGGGCUAGCCUCAAGUGAUGAUUAUUGGAGGUAGAGCACUGUUUGGACGAGGGGCCCCUCUCGGGUUACCGAAUUCAGACAAACUCCGAAUGCCAAUUAAUUUAACUUGGGAGUCAGAACAUGGGUGAUAAGGUCCGUGUUCGAAAGGGAAACAGCCCAGACCACCAGCUAAGGUCCCAAAAUAUAUGUUAAGUGGAAAAGGAUGUGGCGUUGCCCAGACAACUAGGAUGUUGGCUUAGAAGCAGCCAUCAUUUAAAGAGUGCGUAAUAGCUCACUAGUCGAGUGACACUGCGCCGAAAAUGUACCGGGGCUAAACAUAUUACCGAAGCUGUGGAUUGUCCUUUGGACAAUGGUAGGAGAGCGUUCUAAGGGCGUUGAAGCAUGAUCGUAAGGACAUGUGGAGCGCUUAGAAGUGAGAAUGCCGGUGUGAGUAGCGAAAGACGGGUGAGAAUCCCGUCCACCGAUUGACUAAGGUUUCCAGAGGAAGGCUCGUCCGCUCUGGGUUAGUCGGGUCCUAAGCUGAGGCCGACAGGCGUAGGCGAUGGAUAACAGGUUGAUAUUCCUGUACCACCUAUAAUCGUUUUAAUCGAUGGGGGGACGCAGUAGGAUAGGCGAAGCGUGCGAUUGGAUUGCACGUCUAAGCAGUAAGGCUGAGUAUUAGGCAAAUCCGGUACUCAUUAAGGCUGAGCUGUGAUGGGGAGAAGACAUUGUGUCUUCGAGUCGUUGAUUUCACACUGCCGAGAAAAGCCUCUAGAUAGAAAAUAGGUGCCCGUACCGCAAACCGACACAGGUAGUCAAGAUGAGAAUUCUAAGGUGAGCGAGCGAACUCUCGUUAAGGAACUCGGCAAAAUGACCCCGUAACUUCGGGAGAAGGGGUGCUCUUUAGGGUUAACGCCCAGAAGAGCCGCAGUGAAUAGGCCCAAGCGACUGUUUAUCAAAAACACAGGUCUCUGCUAAACCGUAAGGUGAUGUAUAGGGGCUGACGCCUGCCCGGUGCUGGAAGGUUAAGAGGAGUGGUUAGCUUCUGCGAAGCUACGAAUCGAAGCCCCAGUAAACGGCGGCCGUAACUAUAACGGUCCUAAGGUAGCGAAAUUCCUUGUCGGGUAAGUUCCGACCCGCACGAAAGGCGUAACGAUUUGGGCACUGUCUCAACGAGAGACUCGGUGAAAUCAUAGUACCUGUGAAGAUGCAGGUUACCCGCGACAGGAC